rnacentral:lncRNA from 1 species
GGCUCUGGAUUUGAUCUAAUCAACUCCAACUCUAUUGGUUUGUGUCAAAGUCAGUUCCUCUACCUAUCAAGCUUCACCAAGCUUGUUCUUAACAGCAUCAGUUUCUUCACUAAGGAACUUCUUUUUCAAAAAGAAUAUCUUAAGAUUCACGAACAUCUCAUAUCCAUUUGGAAGAUAGAAGAAAUAUCUCUAAUAUAAUAUUUAUCAGACCA